AAAAAUUUAAAUUAAAUACUUAUUUAUACCCAGAAUAUGGCUGGGCGUUUCUACCUCGUCACCGCAAAUACGAGACAAUAAGCACAC
rnacentral:ncRNA from 1 species